GAUGUACGCUGGCGGCGUGCCUAAUACAUGCAAGUCGAGCGAAUGGAUUAAGAGCUUGCUCUUAUGAAGUUAGCGGCGGACGGGUGAGUAACACGUGGGUAACCUGCCCAUAAGACUGGGAUAACUCCGGGAAACCGGGGCUAAUACCGGAUAACAUUUUGAACCGCAUGGUUCGAAAUUGAAAGGCGGCUUCGGCUGUCACUUAUGGAUGGACCCGCGUCGCAUUAGCUAGUUGGUGAGGUAACGGCUCCCCAAGGCAACGAUGCGUAGCCGACCUGAGAGGGUGAUCGGCCACACUGGGACUGAGACACGGCCCAGACUCCUACGGGAGGCAGCAGUAGGGAAUCUUCCGCAAUGGACGAAAGUCUGACGGAGCAACGCCGCGUGAGUGAUGAAGGCUUUCGGGUCGUAAAACUCUGUUGUUAGGGAAGAACAAGUGCUAGUUGAAUAAGCUGGCACCUUGGCGGUACCUAACCAGAAAGCCACGGCUAACUACGUGCCAGCCGCCGCGGUAA
rnacentral:rRNA from 1 species